AUUGAACGCUGGCGGCAUGCUUUACACAUGCAAGUCGGACGGCAGCACAGAGAAGCUUGCUUCUUGGGUGGCGAGUGGCGAACGGGUGAGUAAUAUAUCGGAACGUACCGAGCAGUGGGGGAUAACUAAUCGAAAGAUUAGCUAAUACCGCAUAUUUUCUGAGGAAGAAAGCAGGGGACCAUUUGGCCUUGCGCUGUUUGAGCGGCCGAUAUCUGAUUAGCUAGUUGGUGGGGUAAAGGCCUACCAAGGCGACGAUCAGUAGCGGGUCUGAGAGGAUGAUCCGCCACACUGGGACUGAGACACGGCCCAGACUCCUACGGGAGGCAGCAGUGGGGAAUUUUGGACAAUGGGCGCAAGCCUGAUCCAGCCAUGCCGCGUGUCUGAAGAAGGCCUUCGGGUUGUAAAGGACUUUUGUCAGGGAAGAAAAGGAUAGGGUUAAUACCCCUGUCUGAUGACGGUACCUGAAGAAUAAGCACCGGCUAACUACGUGCCAGCCGCCGCAGUAACAC
rnacentral:rRNA from 1 species